CACACCCGGAGAACUGAAACAUCUUAGUACCCGGAGGAAGAGAAAGAAAAUUCGAUUCCCUUAGUAGCGGCGAGCGAAACGGGAAGAGCCCAAACCAACAAGCUUGCUUGUUGGGGUUGUAGGACACUCUAUACGGAGUUACAAAGGACGACAUUAGACGAAUCAUCUGGAAAGAUGAAUCAAAGAAGGUAAUAAUCCUGUAGUCGAAAAUGUUGUCUCUCUUGAGUGGAUCCUGAGUACGACGGAGCACGUGAAAUUCCGUCGGAAUCUGGGAGGACCAUCUCCUAAGGCUAAAUACUCUCUAGUGACCGAUAGUGAACCAGUACCGUGAGGGAAAGGUGAAAAGCACCCCGGAAGGGGAGUGAAAUAGAACCUGAAACCGUGUGCUUACAAGUAGUCAGAGCCCGUUAAUGGGUGAUGGCGUGCCUUUUGUAGAAUGAACCGGCGAGUUACGAUUUGAUGCAAGGUUAAGCAGUAAAUGUGGAGCCGUAGCGAAAGCGAGUCUGAAUAGGGCGUUUAGUA
rnacentral:rRNA from 1 species